rfam:Streptococcus iniae ITSA1 contig018, whole genome shotgun sequence.
UAUUCCUUUAAAACAGUCCCGUGAGGCUGUCAAGGAGAAGAACCUGAUAAGAGUGGGCAUUUUGUGUGCGCAAUCAUUUUCUGUAAUCUCCUUGUUAACAAGGGGAUUUUUUUUGU